UACGGGAGGCAGCAGUGGGGAAUAUUGCACAAUGGGCGCAAGCCUGAUGCAGCCAUGCCGCGUGUAUGAAAAAGGCCUUCGGGUUGUAAAGUACUUUCAGUCGUGAGGAAGGUGUUAAGGUUAAUAACCUUAGCAAUUGACGUUAGCGACAGAAGAAGCACCGGCUAACUCCGUGCCAGCAGCCGCGGUAAUACGGAGGGUGCGAGCGUUAAUCGGAAUUACUGGGCGUAAAGGGCACGCAGGCGGUUAAUUAAGUUGGAUGUGAAAUCCCCGGGCUUAACCUGGGAAUGGCAUUCAAGACUGGUUAGCUAGAGUCUUGUAGAGGGGGUAGAAUUCCAUGUGUAGCGGUGAAAUGCGUAGAGAUGUGGAGGAAUACCGGUGGCGAAGGCGGCCCCUGGCAAAGGACUGACGCUCAUGUGCGAAAGCGUGGGGAGCAAACAGGGAUUAGAUACC
rnacentral:rRNA from 1 species